rnacentral:rRNA from 1 species
CACGUAGGGGGCGAGCGUUGUCCGGAUUUAUUGGGCGUAAAGAGCUCGUAGGCGGCUCAGUAAGUCGGGUGUGAAAACUCCAGGCUCAACCUGGAGACGCCACCUGAUACUGCUGUGGCUAGAGUCCGGUAGGGGAGCAUGGAAUUCCUGGUGUAGCGGUGAAAUGCGCAGAUAUCAGGAGGAACACCAAUGGCGAAGGCAGCUCACUGGGACGGUACUGACGCUGAGACGCGAAAGCGUGGGGAGCAAACAGG